rnacentral:rRNA from 1 species
AUUGAACGCUGGCGGCAUGCUUUACACAUGCAAGUCGAGCGGCAGCGCGGGGGCAACCCUGGCGGCGAGCGGCGAACGGGUGAGUAAUGCAUCGGAACGUACCCUGGAGUGGGGGAUAACGCCGCGAAAGCGGCGCUAAUACCGCAUAUGCUCUGAGGAGGAAAGUGGGGGACCGCAAGGCCUCACGCUCUGGGAGCGGCCGAUGUCCGAUUAGCUAGUUGGUGGGGUAAAGGCUUACCAAGGCGACAAUCGGUAGCUGGUCUGAGAGGAUGAUCAGCCACACUGGGACUGAGACACGGCCCAGACUCCUACGGGAGGCAGCAGUGGGGAAUUUUGGACAAUGGGGGCAACCCUGAUCCAGCCAUGCCGCGUGAGUGAAGAAGGCCUUCGGGUUGUAAAGCUCUUUUGGUCGGGAAGAAAGUGCCCUGCUUAAUACGCGGGGUAUUUGACGGUACCGGCAGAAUAAGCACCGGCUAACUACGUGCCAGCAGCCGCAGUAAGAC